UACGUAGGGUGCGAGCGUUGUCCGGAAUUACUGGGCGUAAAGAGCUCGUAGGUGGUUUGUCGCGUUGUUCGUGAAAUCUCACGGCCUAACUGUGAGCGUGCGGGCGAUACGGGCAGACUUGAGUACUGCAGGGGGAGACUGGAAUUCCUGGUGUAGCGGUGGAAUGCGCAGAUAUCAGGAGGAACACCGGUGGCGAAGGCGGGGUCUCUGGGCCGCAACUGACGCUGAGGAGCGAAAGCGUGGGGGAGCAAACAGG
rnacentral:rRNA from 1 species